rnacentral:misc_RNA from 1 species
UAAUCAAAAUCGGAGCGAUGCCUUUUGGGUGACGCACCGGAGUUUGGGUCAUCUUAACUCUUUUUUUUAAGAGACCUAAAAUUAACAUUCUUUUUUGCUCACUUUGAGACGUACAUAAUUUUUUUUUUAUUCGUCUACCCUGGUGGCAAAAAUUUUAUUAGAUCGUGAAUCACGUAGAGUGGACUCGCGUCUAUAAUUAUCA